GACGAACGCUGGCGGCGUGCUUAACACAUGCAAGUCGAACGGAAAGGCCCUGCUUUUGUUGGGUGCUCGAGUGGCUAACGGUUGAGUAACACUUGAUUAACCUUCCCUUGACUUUGGGAUAACUUCAGGAAACUGUGGCUAAUACCGGAUAGUAGCUCCUGCUGCAUGGUGUGGGUUGGAAAGUUUCGGCGGUUGGGGAUGGACUCGCGGCUUAUCAGCUUGUUGGUGGGGUAGUGGCUUACCAAGGCUUUGACGGGUAGCCGGCCUGAGAGGGUGACCGGCCACAUUGGGACUGAGAUACGGCCCAGACUCAUACGGGAGGAAGCAGUGGGGAAUAUUGCACAAUGGGCGGAAGCAUGAUGCAGCAACGCCGCGUGCGGGAUGACGGCCUUAGGGUUGUAAACCGCUUUCGCCUGUGAAGAAGAGUGAGUGACGGUAAUGGGUAAAGAAGCACCGGCUAACUACGUG
rnacentral:rRNA from 1 species